GCCACGGACAGUUAACAUAUGCGCACUGUUGCCACGUUCAGACGUCGACGUCUCGACCUGCGUGAAGUUGGCCCCCCACCCAACGCAAAACAUUUGCAAAAUAGGCUCAAUCGUUUGUGCUCCGUUUGUGCUGGUUUGUGCCGUAAAAAUUUUCGUUUGUGCUGCUUCAGUUUUUUAGAUAAUAGAAGAAUAAUUAUAGGUCAUUCGGAGGUCACUUAUCCCCCCGACAUGCUCCAAAAUCACCGCAAAUAGUCUCGCUUGUUUCUGCUCCGUUUGUGCUGGUUUGUGCCGCGAAAAGUUUCGUUUGUGCUGCUUCGGUUUUUUUAAUAUUACACAUUGAAUUAUAGGCGAUGACGUCAUCAGCCCCCCGACAUGCUCCAAACUCAUCCAAAAUAGGCUCAAUCGUUUGUGCUCCGUUUGUGCUGGUUUGUGCCGUAAAACAUUUCGUUUGUGCUGCUUCAGUUUUUUUAAUAUUAGACAUUGAAUUAUAGGCGAUGACGUCAUCAGCCCACCGACAUGCUCCAAACUCGUCCAAAAUAGGCUCAAUCGUUUGUGCUCCGUUUGUGCCGAUAAAAGUAUCCUUUCUGCGACUGUCUUUAACUAUACAGUCGAGGUAUAAAGGUAAAACCAAAACGACCCACCAAAUCACAUUUGUUACCUAUCACUCUGCGUUUUCAAGUUUAAACGGACACAGCGGAUCACAGAAUGUGUGGAAUGUAAUACAAACUACAAGAUCCACCCUCACCUGUUCAUCUACCUUUUAACAAUAAACCCUGGAACUGAUUCUGAAUGCUGCAAUCCAGUGAUCUGACAGACAAACCAGAAGAUAGGCUUGAGAUUUUAAACUAUUCUUACACUUUUUUACAUAUUUUACACAUAGUUUGUUUGUAUAUACUGUACGUAUAUAUAGUGGUCAAAAGUUUACAUACACUGCAGACUCUGGAAAAUGUUGAACAUUUAAGAAGGGCAAGUAUUUUGAAAAUAAAGGUUUGUUUUUAAUUUUAUCCUGAGUUUGUUUGUCCUGGACUGUCCACUGAUCGUCAGAAAGAUCAUACAGGUCCUGCAUAAUAUUUGCAUUUUCAGCAUCUUCUGCAUUUUUAACCCCUGUCCAGCAGUGACUAUAUUAGCCACAAACAUUUAAACAGUGAUACUCAAAGAAGUGAACACCUUACACUAAAACUCGAGCCCAAGAUUACACUCAUUGGUGUAAAUUGUUAUUACUUUGUCUUCUGGAAAACACACACACACACACGCACGCACGCACGCACGCACACAUAUAUAUAUAUAUAUAUAUAUAUUAGCUUAUGAAGGACAUUACUAAAUAAAAAAAUAAUUUGAAACAAAAUAAUAAUGUAUGCUGAUCACUUAGUCCAAAGAUUACAUACACCUGCUUUUAAAUGUAUGGUGUUGACGUUUCGAGCAUCACUGAAUGUUUUUUUGUAAUAGUUUUGUAUGAGUUUCUCGAUUGUCCUCAUUGCUGGACAGAAGUCAAAGUUUCUGCAGGACCUUUAUGAACUUUCUUAAGAUCGGUGAACUGUUUAAUGACACGGAACAAACAAGAAACUCUUAAAUUUACCCUUAAAUAAUGUUACAUUUAUAAAAAUUUAUAUAAAUUCAGUUAUAAUUCUUUGUUAUGGACUUAUAUGUAAACAUAUGUUACAUAUAAAACUUGUUAGAAGUGCUAAAAUAAAAACAAAUUAUAUAUUUUUAAAUUUCUCUUAUUUUCAACAUCUUCCUAAUUCUGCAAGGUGAAUGUAUAUACAGUAUAAGGUGUGUGUAUGGUGUGUAUGUGUGUAUGUAUGUGUAUGUGUAUAUGAAUGUAUGAAUCAAUGAAUUAAGAAUGAAUUCAUAUGUGAUUUAAUGUGAAAUUGAACAUGUACUAUCCAACAUCUAUUAACAGAAAUAACGGACCUUUAAACACUUUAAACCUAUAAACACUUAAUACUGAUAAGCCACUGUCUCGCUUCAGAAAUACCACACUGAAUAACAGAUUAGGAGUACAAACACCAUCAAGCCCAAUUUACAGAAAAGCAAAGAUGACUCUCCAAACAGGACUAAGAACACAAAGGUCGUCAUACAACUCCCAGAAACAUGGAGGCCUCCUACAGUAGGCCACAUAAUGUCCAAGAGCAUCCUGGGUUAAGCCUCCUUUGAAAGCAAUGACUGCCCUUAAGGUAAAUCUCU